UACCGGAACAAUCUUCAAUCUCGUUCUACUGCAGUUUCCGAUAGCACAAAUGAAAGAUGUGAUUUACUACAAUAUUGAAAAUAGCUUGAUUGACGAAGGUGGACUUGGUGGAGUUGUUGAGGAUUAUGCCAUUGCAAUGGCGACAUAAUUGAUGAAAUCAAUGGCGAAAAGAAUUCUUUAGUCAACUAGAGUCGUG